rnacentral:rRNA from 1 species
AUGGCUGCCCCCUCCCUUUCCCGUCCCGUAGCCCUGGCCAUCCUUCUCCUAUGCUGCCUCGUCGUCUCCAUGCGGGGGACGAGCCAGCAGGUCGAGGAGUCGUCCAUGGUGGACAGGCUCAGCUACACGCUCGGCGAGAACCAGUUCACCGACCUCACCAGCGAGGAGUUCCUGGCGACGUACACCGGCCGGUUCACCGUGACGCCGGAGAUGAGUGAAGCGGGGGAUGACGACGCCGAGAUGUUGAUCACGACUCGUGCCGGGGACGUCGCCGAGGGGCACGGCGCCAACCUGUCUGCUGCGGUGCCUGAGAGCGUGGACUGGCGAGAAAUGGGUGCCGUCACGCCCGGUGUACACUUGGAGGUCGGGUGCCUUUGCAUAACUGAAACAUCUGACAUUUUUUGUGUUGGGCUCGACCGAACAGGGUCUUGUUGGGCUUUUGCUGCAGUAGCAGCAGUAGAGAUCUUACACGAAAUCAAGACCGGGGAGGUGGUGGACCUGUUCGAGCAAGAACUCGUGGACUGUGGCAUGUAUGGCUGCGACAUAGGUAAAUCCUACAUGGCCAUGAAAUGGAUCUCGAGGAAUGGCGGCAUCACAACGGAAGAGGACUACCCAUACAAGGGAACGAAGGGCACAUGCGACUCGAGCAAACUGAAGAACCACGCCAUCACCGUGCGUGGCUAUAGCCGGGGGUGGCGCCAGAAGCUCAUGGAGGCGGUGGCUAAGCAGUCCGUGACCGUCAUCAUCGAGGUUGCCGCGAGCUUCGCCAAGAACAAGAGCGGUGUGUACUCGGGUCCAUGCGGGUAUGACUAUAACCACAUCGUCACCAUCGUGGGGUACGGGAAGGAUGACGCCACUGGGAAGAAGUACUGGAUCGUGAAGAACUCGCAUGGGACAUCUUUUGGGAUGGAUGGAUAUAUAUUGAUGGAGAGGGAUUAUGCUGAUUCACGAGGCUUGUGCGGCCUCUUCCUACUGGCCCACUUACCCUACAAUGUGAUCCAUGCUCGAAAAUCGCUUGAAGAUCCUACCCACCAUGACAUUAGUGGCAUAGCCUUGCAUCAUAUGCCACGGCAGGCUGGAGAAUAG